rnacentral:rRNA from 1 species
UGGGGAAUUUUGGACAAUGGGCGCAAGCCUGAUCCAGCCAUGCCGCGUGCAGGAUGAAGGCCUUCGGGUUGUAAACUGCUUCUGUACGGAACGAAAAGGUGCCUUCUAAUAAAGGGCGCUCAUGACGGUACCGUAAGAAUAAGCACCGGCUAACUACGUGCCAGCAGCCGCGGGAAUACGUAGGGUGCGAGCGUUAAUCGGAAUUACUGGGCGUAAAGCGUGCGCAGGCGGUUUUGUAAGACAGAGGUGACAUCCCCGGGCUCAACCUGUGAACUGCCUCUGUGACUGCAAGGCUGGAGUGCGGCAGAGGGGGAUGGAAGUCCGCGUGUAGCAGUUAAAUGCGUAGAUCUGCGGAGGAACACCUAUGGCGAAGGCAAUCCCCUGGGCCUGCACUGACGCUCAUGCACGAAAG